rnacentral:tRNA from 1 species
GGGUGAUUAGCUCAGUUGGCAGAGCGUCUCGCUUACACCGAGAAUGUCGGCGGUUCGAACCCGUCAUCACCCACCA